UGUGAAAUAUUAACAUUUGUUGUUUUUCAGAUCAGCUGCUAUAGAAGACAAACUGAAAUCUGAGUGCAGAGACAAGCAAAGGAAUACUGCAAGGCUCUGGUGCAAAAUAUUGUAUGCCAGGAGUCAGGACGACUAGGCUGUGCCCAGGUCUCCGGAACCUGCUACGACGCUCAGCUCCAUCAGCCCUCCAUCUGCGCCUUCGGAUCCACCAGCUCUGUCUCCAUCGGUCGGCCCCCAGAUGUUGGCAGCCACACCAUCUACAUCUUGGCUCCUCGCUCCCUCGAUUCCGCCGUGUGUUGUCAGCACUGGGAUGCUCUGGGUCUGUGCCAUGUGCCAAACACCAUCUAAGCUGCCAGGGCAUCAUCGUCAUCCUCCCAUCACCAUCCCUUCGCCACAUCCUGCCAUCAUCCCGCACUUUUGCCUCUCACCAUCCCUACGCCAUCUCCUUGUCCACCUCCAAAACCCCCUCCAUCCCUCCCUAUUCUGUUGCUUGAACUUUAUCAUCUUCAGUCUUUG